UACGGAGGAUCCAAGCGAUAUCCGGAUUUAUUGGGUUUAAAGGGUGCGUAGGCGGAUUGAUAAGUUAGAGGUGAAAUGUCCGAGCUCAACUCGGGAACUGCCUCUAAUACUGUUGAUCUAGAGAGUAGAUGCGGUAGGCGGAAUGUAUGGUGUAGCGGUGAAAUGCUUAGAGAUCAUACAGAACACCGAUUGCGAAGGCAGCUUACCAAUCUAUAUCUGACGUUGAGGCACGAAAGCGUGGGGAGCAAACAGG
rnacentral:rRNA from 1 species